CCUUCCGUAGGUGAACCUGCGGAGGGAUCAUUACCGAGUUUACAACUCCCAAACCCCUGUGAACAUACCUAUACGUUGCCUCGGCGGAUCAGCCCGCGCCCCGUAAAACGGGACGGCCCGCCCGAGGACCCCUAAACUCUGUUUUUAGUGGAACUUCUGAGUAAAACAAACAAAUAAAUCAAAACUUUCAACAACGGAUCUCUUGGUUCUGGCAUCGAUGAAGAACGCAGCAAAAUGCGAUAAGUAAUGUGAAUUGCAGAAUUCAGUGAAUCAUCGAAUCUUUGAACGCACAUUGCGCCCGCCAGUAUUCUGGCGGGCAUGCCUGUUCGAGCGUCAUUUCAACCCUCAAGCUCAGCUUGGUGUUGGGACUCGCGGUAACCCGCGUUCCCCAAAUCGAUCGGCGGUCACGUCGAGCUUCCAUAGCGUAGUAAUCAUACACCUCGUUACUGGUAAUCGUCGCGGCCACGCCGUUACACCCCAACUUCACUAAUAUCACCUCGGAUCAGGUCGGAAACCCGCCCCU
rnacentral:rRNA from 1 species